GUCCAAGGAUUCGACCGGAAGGAAUUCAAAUCCUCUAUAAAGAGGCAAGAUCAAAGGUCCAACACACAUGAAAAGCAGGUCAAGUCUGUCGAAGACAUAUAGUUUUGGACCGUUGGUUUGUAAAUUAUUUUCUUAUGUAUAUAUAGUAGUUUUUUUAAUAGGAAAUUAGGGUCACAAAUCACAUGCAAAAUUUCUUCACACUCGAAUUAUCCAAGCGUAGAGAGAAAAGAGUCAAAAGAACGUAUGUAACUGAUUUGAUGAACCGUCUUUAUUAAUGAAAUGCAAACUAUUUUCUU
rnacentral:lncRNA from 1 species